rnacentral:rRNA from 1 species
GCAUAUCAAUAAGCGGAGGAAAAGAAACUAACAAGGAUUCCCUUAGUAACGGCGAGUGAAGAGGGAAGAGCUCAAAUUUUAAAUCUAUCAUGUUGUACAUGAUCGAGUUGUAAUUUGAAGAAGCGUUUUCUCGUACUUUAUGAUCAGUAUAAGUUCUCUUGGAACAGGACAUCAUAGAGGGUGAUAAUCCCGUCUGUUACUGAUUGUGAGGUUCGUUUAUGAUACGCUUUCAAAGAGUCGAGUUGUUUGGGAUUGCAGCUCCAAAUGGGUGGUAAACAUCACCUAAGGCUAAAUAUUUGCGAGAGACCGAUAGCGAACAAGUACCGUGAGGGAAAGAUGAAAAGAACUUUGAAAAGAGAGUUAAAAAGUAUGUGAAAUUGUUGAAAGGGAAACGAUUGAAGUCAGUCGUGCAGUCAUCAAUUCAGCGGUUAACAUUUUAUGUUUCCGUGUAAUUUGGUGUCUGUUGGUUAGCAUCAAUUUUGAUUGUUAUAAAAAGGUUAAGGGGAUGUGGCUCCUUCGGGAGUGUUAUAACCCUUAGCGUAAUGUGACGAUUAGGAUUGAGGUUUGCAACGAAUACCUUUUAGGGCAGUUUCACCUGGCCUCUCAUGGAAUUAUAGAUAGUUAAGAGCAUGCUCUUACUGUCUAUGAUUCUACGAAAAGGUUGGAGUGUAAAACUAAUUCGUUAAGGAUGUUGACGUA